CCUACGGGAGGCUGCAGUGAGGACUAUUGGUCGAUGGACGAGAGUCUGAACCAGCCAAGUAGCGUGAAGGAUGACUGCCCUAUGGGUUGUAAACUUCUUUUAUAAAGGAAUAAAACGAGGCACGUGUGCCUUUUUGCAUGUACUUUAUGACUAAGGAUCGGCUAACUCCGUGCCAGCAGCCGCGGUAAUACGGAGGAUCCGAGCGUUAUCCGGAUUUAUUGGGUUUAAAGGGAGCGUAGAUGGGUUGUUAAGUCAGUUGUGAAAGUUUGCGGCUCAACCGUAAAAUUGCAAUUGAUACUGGCAGUCGUGAGUACAGUUGAGGUAAGCGGAAUUCGUGGUGUAGCGGUGAAAUGCUUCGAUAUCACGAAGAACCCCGAUUGCGAAGGCAGCUUACUAAACUGUGACUGACAUUGAUGCUCGAAAGUGUGGGUAUCAAACAGGAUUAGAUACCCUUGUAGUC
rnacentral:rRNA from 1 species